rnacentral:rRNA from 1 species
GACGAACGCUGGCGGCGUGCUUAACACAUGCAAGUCGAACGGAAAGGCCCUUCGGGGUACUCGAGUGGCGAACGGGUGCGUAACACGUGGGUGAUCUGCCCUGCACUUUGGGAUAAGCCUGGGAAACUGGGUCUAAUACCGAAUAGGACCACGCGCUUCAUGGUGUGUGGUGGAAAGCUUUUGCGGUGUGUGAUGGGCCCGCGGCCUAUCAGCUUGUUGGUGGGGUAAUGGCCUACCAAGGCGACGACGGGUAGCCGGCCUGAGAGGGUGACCGGCCACACUGGGACUGAGAUACGGCCCAGGCUCCUACGGGAGGCAGCAGUGGGGAAUAUGGCACAAUGGGCGCAAGCCUGAGGGAGCGACGCCGCGUGAGGGAUGACGGCCUUCGGGUUGGAAGCCACUUUCAUUAGGGACGAAGCGCAAGGGACGGUACCGAUAGAAGAAGCACCGGCCAACUACGG